ensembl:snRNA U6 U6 spliceosomal RNA
GUGCUCACUUUGGCAGCACUAAAAUUUGAAUGAUACAGAAAAUAUUGUCCCUGAGCAAGAAUGGCAUGCAAAUUUGUGAAGUGUUCCAUAUUUUC